rnacentral:snRNA from 1 species
GUGCUCGCUUCGGCAGCGCAUAUACUAAAAUUGGAAUGAUACAGAGAAGAUUAGCAUGGCCCCUGUGCAAGGAUGAUAUGCAAAUCUGUGAAGAGUUACAAAAAAAA